rnacentral:rRNA from 1 species
AUUGAACGCUGGCGGCAGGCCUAACACAUGCAAGUCGAACGAGUGGCGGACGGGUGAGCUAUGUCUGGGCAACUGCCUGCGGGAGAGGGAUCACUACUGGAAACGGUUGCCAAUACCGCCCACCAUCAGCUGUGCCCAGAUGGGUUUAGCUUGUUGGUGGGGUAACGGCUCACAAAGGCGACGAGCCCUAGCUGGUCUGAGAGGAUGACCAGCCACACUGGAACUGAGACACGGUCCAGACUCCUACGGGAGGCAGCAGUGGGGAAUAUUGCACAAUGGGCGAAAGCCUGAUGCAGCCAUGCCGCGUGUAUGAAGAAGGCCUUCGGGUUGUAAAGUACGUUCAGCGGGGAGGCGUUACCGGCAGAAGAAGCACCGGCUAACUUCGUGCCAGCAGCCGCGGUAAUAC